rnacentral:rRNA from 1 species
GGAUGAACGGCCACAUUGGAACUGAGACACGGUCCAGACUCCUACGGGAGGCAGCAGUGGGGAAUCUUCCGCAAUGGGCGCAAGCCUGACGGAGCAACGCCGCGUGAGUGAAGAAGGGUUUCGACUCGUAAAGCUCUGUUGUCGGGGACGAACGUGGAGACGGCAAAUAGUCGUUUCCAAUGACGGUACCUGACGAGGAAGCCACGGCUAACUACGUGCCAGCAGCCGCGGUAAUACGUAGGUGGCGAGCGUUGUCCGGAAUUAUUGGGCGUAAAGGGAGCGCAGGCGGGAAGGUAAGUCUAUCUUAAAAGUGCGGGGCUCAACCCCGUGAGGGGAUGGAGACUAUCUUUCUUGAGUGCAGGAGAGGAAAGCGGAAUUCCUAGUGUAGCGGUGAAGUGCGUAGAUAUUAGGAGGAACACCAGUGGCGAAGGCGGCUUUCUGGACUGUAACUGACGCUGAGGCUCGAAAGCGUGGGGAGCGAACAGGAUUAGAUACCCUGGUAGUCCACGCCGUAAACGAUGAAUGCUAGGUGUAGGAGGUAUCGACCCCUUCUGUGCCGGAGUUAACGCAAUAAGCAUUCCGCCUGGGGAGUACGGCCGCAAGGCUGAAACUCAAAGGAAUUGACGGGGGCCCGCACAAGCGGUGGAGUAUGUGGUUUAAUUCGACGCAACGCGAAGAACCUUACCAGGGCUUGACAUUGAGUGAAAGGACAAGAGAUUGUCCCCUCUCUUCGGAAACACGAAAACAGGUGGUGCAUGGCUGUCGUCAGCUCGUGUCGUGAGAUGUUGGGUUAAGUCCCGCAACGAGCGCAACCCUUAUCCUUUGUUGCCAGCACGUUAUGGUGGGAACUCAAAGGAGACUGCCGCGGACAACGCGGAGGAAGGCGGGGAUGACGUCAAGUCAUCAUGCCCCUUAUGUCCUGGGCUACACACGUACUACAAUGGGAUGGACAGAGAGCAGCGAAGCCGCGAGGCCAAGCGAACCCCAUAAACCAUCUCCCAGUUCGGAUUGCAGGCUGCAACCCGCCUGCAUGAAGUUGGAAUCGCUAGUAAUCGCAGGUCAGCAUACUGCGGUGAAUACGUUCCCGGGCCUUGUACACACCGCCCGUCACACCACGGAAGUCAUUCACACCCGAAGCCGGCAGGCUAACCUUUUGGAGGCAGCCGUCUAAGGUGGGGGCGAUGACUGGGGUGAAGUCGUAACAAGGUA